UACGUAGGGGGCAAGCGUUGUCCGGAAUCAUUGGGCGUAAAGCGCGUGUAGGCGGUUCAGUAAGUCUGCUGUGAAAGUCCAGGGCUCAACCCUGGGAUGCCGGUGGAUACUGCUGGGCUAGAGUACGGAAGAGGCGAGUGGAAUUCCCGGUGUAGCGGUGAAAUGCGCAGAUAUCAGGAGGAACACCGGUGGCGAAGGCGGUUCUCUGGGCCUGUACUGACGCUGAGGAACGAAAGCGUGGGGAGCGAACAGG
rnacentral:rRNA from 1 species